rnacentral:rRNA from 1 species
UACGAAGGGGGGCUAGCGUUGUUCGGAAUUACUGGGCGUAAAGCGCACGUAGGCGGAUACUUAAGUUAGGGGUGAAAUCCCAGGGCUCAACCCUGGAACUGCCUUUAAUACUGGGUAUCUCGAGUCCGGAAGAGGUGAGUGGAACUCCGAGUGUAGAGGUGAAAUUCGUAGAUAUUCGGAAGAACACCAGUGGCGAAGGCGGCUCACUGGUCCGGUACUGACGCUGAGGUGCGAAAGCGUGGGGAGCAAACAGG